AGAUUGAACGCUGGCGGCAUGCCUUACACAUGCAAGUCGAACGGCAGCACGGGAGCAAUCCUGGUGGCGAGUGGCGAACGGGUGAGUAAUACAUCGGAACGUGCCCAAUCGUGGGGGAUAACGCAGCGAAAGCUGUGCUAAUACCGCAUAAGAUCUACGGAUGAAAGCAGGGGAUCGCAAGACCUUGCGCGAAUGGAGCGGCCGAUGGCAGAUUAGGUAGUUGGUGAGGUAAAGGCUCACCAAGCCUUCGAUCUGUAGCUGGUCUGAGAGGACGACCAGCCACACUGGGACUGAGACACGGCCCAGACCUCCGUACGGGAGCAGCAGGUGGGGUAAUUUGGACUAAGUGGGACGAAAG
rnacentral:rRNA from 1 species